rnacentral:rRNA from 1 species
CAGCUCCAAUAGCGUAUAUUAAAGUUGUUGCAGUUAAAAAGCUCGUAGUUGGAUCUAGGGACGCGCAUUUCAAGCGCCCGUGUCGUUGGGUCAAACCAGCGACUGCGUUGGCGUUGCGGGCUCGGUCCGUCGGUGGCCACACAAAUGGCCACUGGCGUGUCAACCGGCCCGCCCGUCCCCUCCUUCUGGAUUCCCGUUCCUGCUAUUGAGUUAGUGGGGACGUCACAGGGGGCUCAUCGUCGAUCGUGCAAACGGGCGGCGGUGGGUCCCUGGGGCCCAGAUCGUUUACCGUGAAAAAAUUAGAGUGUUCAAAGCAGGCAGAUCCAAUUUUCUGCCACCGAAUACAUUAGCAUGGGAUAAUGGAAUAGGACCCUGUCCUCCUAUUUUCAGUUGGUUUUGGCAGCGCGAGGACUAGGGUAAUGAUUAAUAGGGAUAGUUGGGGGCAUUAAUAUUUAAUUGUCAGAGGUGAAAUUCUUGGAUUUAUGAAAGAUUAACUUCUGCGAAAGCAUCUGCCAAGGAUGUUUUCAUUAAUCAAGAACGAAAGUUAGGGGAUCGAAGACGAUCAGAUACCGUCGUAGUCUUAACCAUAAACGAUGCCGACCAGCGAUUAGGAGACGUUGAAUACAAAACACCACCAUCGGUUGCGGUCGUCCUUGGCGUCUCGGUUUCGGCCGGGGCGCGGGGACGGUUUAGCCCGGUGGCACCGGUGAA